AAACGCCAAUAACCAUUAUAUCCUGGUCUAAAAGUCGGCUUCCGCGUAUAGUUGCGUUGCCUUUUGCAAGAAUUCAGGCUUUUUUGCCAAUGGAACCGUAGGUGGUUUGACUACCAAAAAGGUGACAUUCCCGGAAACAAUGCGCAGUAGUUUCAGUAGAGCUUUGGCCCAGGCAUCCGAAUGCCAAAGCGAGGCUAUUUUGCGAAAGUAUGAAGCUCAAAUGCCAAACGAAACAACUUACCUUGUUACAAACAAGCGGAUACAGCUCAUCCUUAGGAGCCGUAUUCAGUAGAUCCUUUCGAAGUGAAUCGCUCCGGCAUUCUUUAUUAUAAACUCUUGACAGCAAUUCGUUACUAGAUGGAAAUGCAACUUUUGUAUAUAGUAAAUCUUUGCUGGUGAUAUCGAUGUGGCAAUAUUGUGGAGGAACAGAUUUCAAGGGGCUACAAAGUCAUAUGUUAUUUAUUGACUAGCUCGGAGCAGGUGAGCGGGCCAUAGAGGGUUGGUUGCGUAAGCUAACUGCUAACUAUAGUAAAUCUUGAUAUAGAGUAGAAUAGGUCUUUGAUAGUUGAUAGAAUAAUAAUAUUAAAUAAAAAUCAAUUGUAUAUGUUAAAAUAAAAGCAG
rnacentral:sRNA from 1 species